ensembl:lncRNA
AGAACGGGUCAGUGAAGAAGCCAUGGAAGAUAACUGAACCAAGCCUUAGAGGAAAAUUGUAGGGAAAGAGGAAAUUAGCCAAGAUGGCGCGGUCAGGCUCUCUCGCCCCACAGCUCACCCCAUGUUUUGUGAAUGCCUCUGUAGUUGGUAGGCUGCCAUCCAGGGGGUCGCUAUGAGCGACUUCACUUUUACUUUUCACUUUCAUGCAUUGGAGAAGGAAAUGGCAACCCACUCCAGUGUUCUUGCCUGGAGAAUCCCAGGGACGGGAGAGCCUGGUGGGCUGCCGUCUAUCGGGUUGCACAAAGUCGGACACAACUGAAGCGAUUUAGCAGCAGCAGCAGCAGCAGCAGCAGCUGAGCGCACUUAUCGCACUGUGCAUGCGGGUCACGAGGUCCUCGCUUGGUCCCGAGGCGCUUUGCUCCACACGUCUGUAAGAGCUCCACCACAAGGCCCUGGCUGCUGUGGCGUAGGGGCUACACUGGAGUGGCAUCGUGGCCAUGUUAUUACUAUAUUAUGGUGACGUUGCGGCUGCUGCUACGGCUGCUACGGCAGCCAGCAGAGACGCUGUGUUACGGCUGCCGUGUCCGCCAGGAGAGAACACGUGUCUGCAGUUCCUGCGGCUCCUCGAGUCUCCUUCCAACCUCUUAGCUUGGGCCUUGCCGACCCUGGGUUCAGCGAACAGUGCGCACAGUGAACAGCGAGACAAUUGGCAUCACAAACAGGAUGAAGAGCAAUACAAAAAUACAGGGACUUAUUUUUUCAUAUUUUAAUAAGAUUUUGAAAGACAAGGGGUGGCUUGAGAACAGGACCAGCUUUGUCUCCCUCACCGUCCUGACUGGUCCUCAGUCUCAGAUUCUCACAGACCAGCACCAGGAGACCUGGACAGGCUGUCAUGGCCAGCUCUCCGUGGAUUUGUGGAUUCGAAUCAAGAAUCAGGAAUUCUAGGACCUGCCCCCAUCUCACAUCCAUUGCAUCUCCACACCACCAUCAACCUCAUUUCUUAUUGAUUUAGUUCAGCUGCGUGGCCCUCUUGGCACCUCAGGAACAACACCUGUAAAACAGCUAACACAAUAAAUCCCCAGUCUGGGACUGGGUGCUACAUGGGUUGAUCUUGGGAUCAUAGAGCCAGCAAUUCUGCAGAUGGACCACCACUUUGGCGGAGGAACCUUAUCCUGUACCUGGCCAGACAUCAAGUGCCAGGGAGAGACCAUAGCGCAGCCUGAGUCAUGAGCCACACAUUCAAGGCCAUGAUCAGGAUCACCGCAAAACCCUGAUACCAGCCUCACAGAACACUAUGAAAUCUGAGGAGGACCGACGAUUCUAAGUGCUCCCCAAUGGUAAGAUCCUCCUGGAGGCUCUUUCAUGCCUUUAUCCAUGCCACUGUCCCUGCUACCAUGUCUUCAGCCCUUGAUCUUGUUUCCAAAGGACAGUCUGUGAAAAGGCAGGUGGCCUGACCUCUCUUUCUGGGAAUUCAUUCAUCUGAGUGAGGCAACCAGAAAAUGGAUCAAGUGUUUACUGCAAAAUUGAAACCUAGCAACUGGUCAGUAAUGGAAGAAGUCAGAUGAUAACUUUGUAUACUCUAAGUUCAAUUAUGGCCAGAAAAUAAAACUACAUGCAGUCAGAAAGAGCAAACAUGCUUUGAUCCCCUGAAACAUACAAACAAAUUAUUUAUGAUGAGGGAUACCAAGAUGUAAAGCAACAAGCUGCCAGGAGUUUACAUCCUAACUCUGACCCCUGGUUGUAAAAGUACUUUCUCCACCGCCUGGUCUCCUGUGUGGCUGCACGGGAUGGUGACCCAGAAUGGCAACAGAAUGCUUGUCUCUUCCAAAGCCACGCCAACAGAACAGAGACCAUCCAGUGUCGGCAAUAGGUGGAUUGGAAUGCUUGUGUCCCUUGAACCAAAUGUCUUAGGGCUCCAAAAGAAACUUUUUAUGGAUUGUUUUGUAGCAGAAAAUACAUGAUUGGACAUCUUAUACUAAAAACAGUCCUGUGACUAUUCAUAAUGUGACUUUACCAGCAAAUGACAUGUGCUCUUAGAACAAAAAUUUGUCCGUGUGGUACCCAAGCUACCACAGUGAAUCCCAGAUGCUUGUAGAAGGAUCAUCUGAUGAAAACUUGGGACCAGUUGUUGGCACAUGGGGCACACACCAAUCAUAAACUGCCUUUCAGUCCAUCAUCAUAUUUUAUUCCUCCUAUUAGGAGUUAAAUUCUGGCAACACAAGAAACAUGUGACAUCUUGUCUUUUCCCUUCCUCUGUUGGAUUCUCUCUAACCUCAUUAACACACACCCAUUACCAUAAAAGUUUUCAAUGAUAACCAAUAUUGAAUGAAAAAAAAUGAGUGAAUGAAUGAAUGAGGUAUCAAAGCUGUAUCAGACAUAUGUUUAACUAUGCUGCUGCUGCCGCCGCUAAGUCACUUCAGUCAUGCCUGACUCUGUGCAACCCCAGAGACAGCAGCCCACCAGGCUCCUCUGUCCCUGGGAUUCUCCAGGCAAGAACACUGGAGUGGGUUGCCAUUUCCUUCUCCAAUGCAUGAAAGUGAAAAGUGAAAGUGAAGACGCUCAGUCAUGUCGGACUCUGUGUGACUCCAUGGACUGCAGCCUACCAGGCUCCUCCGCCCAUGGGAUUUUCCAGGCAAGAAAAUAAAAAUAAAAAAUUUCACUACAAGGCCUUUACACAGAUAUGGGUUUAUUUAGUCUCUGGCCGCUUAGAAUCUAGGGGUAGGAAUACCAGGCUGGCAGAGGAGCUCGGAGUGCCAGAAGUCUCUGUGCUCAGGGUCGCAAGGCAGCCCCCACACUUCCAGACACCACGUCCAGUUUAUAGGAAGCAAGGCGUGAGGGCUACCGACCUUCUCCCCAGGCAGCUUGGUCUCUUUGCCUGGGAAGGCAAGCUGGGCACCUGCAUCCCAGGUCAGCAGUGAGCCAGGCAGAGUGUUCAAGAAAAAUGAGUGCUGAGCAGCCUGGCCUCUUUCAAGAGGAUACAAGGGACAGCCAGGUGGGAAUGGGGUUGAAUGACCAAGCCCUGGGGUUGUAUGCUGACAGCUCUUUUCCCAAGAAUAAAUGGUUUUCAUGAAACUCACACCUCACUAAUACUGUUUUGUUCCAUUUAUUUAGUCCAGGCUCUUGAGGUGGGUGUAAUGAAGGGUCCUCUUCAUUUCACUCUGGUAUCCUUAGAGUCCAGUGAGAGCCUUAGAGUCCAGUUCUUCCAAUCAUUUCGAAUUGAUAUGGACAGCUCAGAUUUCAAUCCCAAACUUCUGUUCAGUUCUAUUUAUUUCAAGACCAACUUUUUUCAAACUGAUUCAUUU